rnacentral:rRNA from 1 species
CAAUAGCGUAUAUUAAAGUUGUUGCAGUUAAAAAGCUCGUAGUUGGAUUUCUGGUUGAAGCGACCGGUCGGGCGUUGAUUCGUCUGCACUGGAGUCGGUUUCGGCCAUCCUCUAGGAAAGUGCGUCUGGUAUUAAGUUAUCGGGCGUAUGAUCCUGGUCUUUUACUGUGAAAAAAUUAGAGUGUUUAAAGCAGGCCUUCGCCUUGAAUACAUUAGCAUGGAAUAAUAAGAUAGGACUUUGGUCUAUUUUGUUGGUUUGCAGACCGAAGUAAUGAUUAAUAGGGAUAGUUGGGGGUAUUUAUAUUCCGAUGUCAGAGGUGAAAUUCUUAGAUUUUCGGAAGAUAAACUUAUGCGAAAGCAUUUACCAAGGAUGUUUUCAUUAA